GUAGGUGAACCUGCGGAAGGAUCAUUACAGAGAACCAGGCAAGGGCCCCCGGGCCCUCCUGACCUCCCACCCGUGUGAACGUACCAUUGUUGCUUUGACGGGCCCGCGCGGGCUGGCCCUGCCCGCCGGCCCCGGCCGGUGAGCGUCCGUCAGAGGCCCCUUCACCCUGUCCACAGUGAUGUCUGAGUACCAUACAAUAGUUAAAACUUUCAACAACGGAUCUCUUGGUUCCG
rnacentral:misc_RNA from 1 species